rfam:Hanseniaspora uvarum DSM 2768 Contig_7, whole genome shotgun sequence.
UGAAAUGAUGAUUUAAAUAUAAAAAUAUUCAAACUAGAGUUUCUGAAUUAUUAGUGAUUAGAAACUAUAUUACUUAAUCUGAUA